rnacentral:tRNA from 1 species
GCGGAAGUGGCGGAAUUGGUAGACGCACCAGAUUUAGGUUCUGGCGCCGUAGGGUGUGAGAGUUCAAGUCUCUCCUUCCGCACCA